UACCGCAUACGCUCUACGGAGGAAAGCGGGGGAAUCUUCGGUACCUCGUGUCUACUAGGAUGGGCCUAUAUUGGAUUAGCUAGUUGGUAAGGUAAAGGCUUACCAAGGCGACGAUCCAGUAGCUGGUUUGAGAGAAUGAUCAGCCACACUGGGACUGAGACACGGCCCAG
rnacentral:rRNA from 1 species